CUCAAGGAAGCGCUUUGUCCACGUGGACACAAAGCGCACCCUCAAAAAAGCAUUUUCUGUCCACGUGGACAAAGUGCUUCCUUAAGA
rfam:Gossypium hirsutum cultivar TM-1 unplaced genomic scaffold scaffold544.1, whole genome shotgun sequence